UUGCAAAUCUCUACAUCUACCAUUUAAAAGCAAGGAAUGCUAGUGAGCUUGCUCUUUUCUUUUAAAGAGUUUGCAGAGAGCAGAAAUGCUGCUGCUUACAAAAUGAAGGGAGCCUGGGUCUGGUGCCUUUCUUGCUCUAAGAAGAUUUGGAUUCAUGCCUAUCACCUUCCAGAUGAGCAGUAAAGCUCCUGGCUAGGGCUUGCUCACCUGCAAGCUGCUGCCUUGAGCUGUACUAAAAGGAAUGCAAAAGGCAUGAAAGUCUGAGCUAUUUCACAUCUCUUCUGUGGAGCCAUUCCUGACUUGGACACAGCAUGAGCUUUUAUGUUCAUGAUGCUUUCUCCUCUGGGGACAAAAGGAGAUAGCAGAACUGCAUGAUACCUGAGAUAAAGGAAGGUAAUUUCUGCAACUUAGAAGAAGGGGGAAAAACACCUUGACAGCAAUAUUUUGCACAGGGUGGCAAUCCUAAGGGGAUUUAUAACACUCACAAAUUUCUGUGACCAUCCCUUCACUGAAGAAAUAAGACGGAUGAAGGAUUAAGGUUCCUUAGGAAAUUGACUGGUGGUUCUAAAAAUAUUAUGAGACCCUCUGUCUCAGAUAUCUAUUCAGGAGCAUAAGGGAGAUGUGGAAGCAUAUUUUUGGCUGCAUUGUUAUAAGGAGGGAUGUAAUUCUGUGAGUAGCGAGGGUGCUUCUUCCAUUCUGUGAUUCUGCCACAGAGCUUGGCCCAUGAUACAGACUCUGGUAUCUUCUUCUCUUCACUCAUGCCUGAGAAAGGCAAAAAGUGAGAAGAAUAUUGCAUAUAGGGGACAGGAAGGCUGAGGAUUUUCUUCUAUCCUCCAGUGCUAGCAGCCCUGCUAAAGGGAGAUCAGCAAUGGCACCAUGGAAGAGCUCAGGUUGCCACUGAAAUGUGCAGCAUAACAUACAGAAAAACAAAUGAGCAAACCUUGAAAAGGGAAGCAAUACAGCAUCCUUGCCCAGAAGAGCCUAAAAGGGACUGUAAAUACCUUUGUGAGUCUUUACUCCUACUUCAACUUAGAAUUCUCUUCACAUAUUCUUUAGUUCCUAAAUAGCAUCUUAGAGCUUUAAAGAUCAGAAGCCCCUAGACCUCCUGCUAGUAUAAUAAGAUUAGUUUCCUGCUUAUUCGAGUGUGUCUGUGCAUGUUUAGAGAAUUGGGGCUGGAAGCAAGGGACAAAGGGAAAGGAAGGCAGGCUGAAGUACCUGUUUUCUCACUAAUCUGCUGGGAACACAUAAUUAUAAUCUGCACCUUAAAACAUCAAAACAUCUUUCAGAAAUACUUGCACUCCAUAGUGGAUAAUUAUUGCUAUAAAAUCAUGAGGAAGCAACAUAUUCAAAAACACUUGGUGUAGUUCACUUUAGAAGAACAUCUAUAUUCAAAGAUUAAAAGAACAAUAAAUGGAGUUGUUCCUCACAAGGCACCGAAAUUCAUUUGAGCUGAUGGAUUUGAAUGCAUGCUUGUCAAAUAUAGGUAAUGUUGAGCUACACUGUAAAUCACACACUACCAUAGCUUGUGCCUACUGAUGUUACAUAAA